rnacentral:rRNA from 1 species
GACGAACGCUGGCGGCGUGCUUAACACAUGCAAGUCGAACGGAAAGGCCCUGCUUUUGUGGGGUGCUCGAGUGGCGAACGGGUGAGUAACACGUGAGUAACCUGCCCUUGACUUUGGGAUAACUUCAGGAAACUGGGGCUAAUACCGGAUAGGAGCUCCUGCUGCAUGGUGGGGGUUGGAAAGUUUCGGCGGUUGGGGAUGGACUCGCGGCUUAUCAGCUUGUUGGUGGGGUAGUGGCUUACCAAGGCUUUGACGGGUAGCCGGCCUGAGAGGGUGACCGGCCAAAUGGGGAAUGAGAUACGGCCCAGACUCCUACGGGAGGCAGCAGUGGGGAAUAUUGCACAAUGGGCGGAAGCCUGAUGCAGCAACGCCGCGUGCGGGAUGACGGCCUUCGGGUUGUAAACCGCUUUCGCCUGUGACGAAGCGUGAGUGACGGUAAUGGGUAAAGAAGCACCGGAUAACUACGUG